rnacentral:rRNA from 1 species
AGAGUUUGAUUCUGGCUCAGGANGAACGCUAGCGGCAGGCUUAAUACAUGCAAGUCGUGGGGCAGCAUGUCCCGCAGCAAUGCGGGAUGAUGGCGACCGGCAAACGGGUGCGGAACACGUACGCAACCUUCCUUUAAGUGGGGGAUAGCCCGGGGAAACCCGGAUUAAUACCCCGUAAUAUUAUGGAGUGGCAUCACUUUAUAAUUAUAGCUCCGGCGCUUAAAGAUGGGCGUGCGUCUGAUUAGGUAGUUGGCGGGGUAAUAGCCCACCAAGCCUACGAUCAGUAACUGGUGUGAGAGCACGACCAGUCACACGGGCACUGAGACACGGGCCCGACUCCUACGGGAGGCAGCAGUAAGGAAUAUUGGUCAAUGGACGCAAGUCUGAACCAGCCAUGCCGCGUGGAGGAUGAAGGUCCUCUGGAUUGUAAACUUCUUUUAUCUGGGAAGAAACCCAUAGUUUCUACUGUGGUUGACGGUACCAGAUGAAUAAGCACCGGCUAACUCCGUGCCAGCAGCCGCGGUAAUACGGAGGGUGCAAGCGUUAUCCGGAUUCACUGGGUUUAAAGGGUGCGUAGGUGGGCAGGUAAGUCAGUGGUGAAAUCUCCGGGCUUAACCCGGAAACUGCCGUUGAUACUAUCUGUCUUGAAUAUCGUGGAGAUGAGCGGAAUAUGUCAUGUAGCGGUGAAAUGCUUAGAUAUGACAUAGAACACCGAUUGCGAAGGCAGCUCGUUACACGGUUAUUGACACUGNNNCACGAAAGCGUGGGGAUCAAACAGGAUU